AUGUGUGUAGUAUAUUUGCAUGUGUAGUAUAUUUGCAUGUGUAGUAUAUUUGCAUGUGUAUGUGACACACACACACACACACACA
rnacentral:miRNA from 1 species